rnacentral:rRNA from 1 species
GACGAACGCUGGCGGCGUGGAUUAGGCAUGCAAGUCGAACGGUAUCAUCCUUUCGGGGGUGAGAGAGUGGCGAACUGGUGAGUAACACGUAGGUUAUCUACCCUCAAGACGGGGACAACCCAGGGAAACUUGGGCUAAUACCGGAUGUGAGCAACUUUUAGUUGUUUGAAAGGUGGCGUAAGCUGUCGCUUGGGGAUGAGCCUGCGUCCUAUUAGUUAGUUGGUGAGGUAACGGCUCACCUAGGCAAUGAUAGGUAGGCGGCCUUAACGGGUGGUCGCCCACACUGGGAUUGAGAUACGGCCCAGACUCCUACGGGAGGCAGCAGUCGAGAAUAGUCUACAAUGGCCGAAAGGCUGAUAGUGCGACGCCGCGUGAACGAAGAAGCCCUUCGGGGUGUAAAGUUCUUUUAUAUGUGAGCAGUGCUUUCUAUGUGAACAGCAUGGGGAAGAGAUAUUAGCAUAUGAAUAAGCAACGGCUAACUCCGUGCCAGCAGCCGAAC